rnacentral:lncRNA from 1 species
UUCUACUUAGCUUGGGUAACCAUGAUAUUCUGCUAGGCGUCACUCAUGGUUUGUGGAAGCCCUAAUGAUUAGCAAACACUAAUCAUCAAAGGAAGAAUUGAAAUGUGGUUUCAAUUCACAAUCGAUCGUUAAGAGUAACAUCGCCCACUGCCUCGCUAAAUGGAACCUAAUGGAUCGUACACCGAGUAAGGAUGUAUGUGAAGAAAUUAAAUGAAAUGGAUAAGCAAUUAAAUGGUUUAAUUGAAGAAUGGUCAAGAUUAAUUAAUUAGUUAAUUAAUUUUACGAAAGGUUCGUAUUGGGCUUAUAUGUUGGUUUUGGGUUUCGAGGCCCAAAAGCGUUUUGGUCCAAAAGGCCCAUUAUGUUUAAGUUGUAUGACAACUAAAACAAAAUGAACAACAAGCCCAACAACAAUAUGAUGGCCGGCCAUUAGGGGUGGAUGGUGAAAGCUUGCUUAAUUGCAAGUUUGCCACUCACCAAAGAAAAGGUUAUAAAAGCAACUUUAUAGCUAUUUUCUCUUUAGGGUUUUCUAGUUGAAAUUGGGUGAAACAUUUUCUCUCCAUUUUCUUCCAAGAGGCCGGCCACUAAGGGGAGGGACAUCUAGCAAUCUCUUCUUCCCUAAGUCAUCCAUAUCAUCUUCACAAGAUACAUCCUUGGUGAAGAGACUUAGAGACAUCAAACUUUUGAUGUUUUGGAGAACAUAUCCUCAUUUCCUCAAAUCUUCAAAGGAGCACUAAAAAGGAGGAAAAACACAAGGAAGAUUCAAGGAUCUUGGAGGUGACUUGAAGGCCCUCCACUUGGGUGAAUCCCUUGUGUAAACAAGGAUGAGCUUCAAGGGUAAAGAAACUCUAAAUCUUUACUUAUUUUUAAUGUUGUUAAAGAGUUUAUUUUGGUUCACCAUAUACUAGGCUUUGAAAGUCAUGGGUUUUAUGAAUUGUUUUUGGAUGCAUGCCUACUUUAAAGUGUUAAUAGCUUGCAUGUGUAUUCAAAUGUUCAUACUUGUUCUUAGCUAGGACAAAAUUUUUCCUUCACGGACUUCUUUGGGACAACUUGAACCGGUGAGACCCAACGGCUAUCCGAAAUUGGAUAAAUCACUCCACAAUCGAGAAAGCUUUAUAAUCUCCUUUUCACAACUUCUAUCAUUGAAAGGUUGAGUCGGCAUUGAGCCUCUCGAGUUGGUUUAGCCCCCUCCUCUAGAAAUAUGCGAUGCAUGCAUGUUGUAGGGCUAAUCCCCUUAAUAUCGGCCAAUGUCCAUCCAAUGGCUGUUUUGUGCUCUUUCAACACCCGAAUCAACUUUUCCUCCUCUAAUGUCGUGAGUGAUAAGGAGACAAUGACGGGCAACGUCUCUUCAUCUCCCAAAAAUACAUACUUUAAAUGAUCCGGCAAUGGUUUAAGCUCAAGAACGGAGGCCUGAAUCACAUAAGGUAACAACGUAUUAGUGGAAACGGGAAUUGGAAUUGGGUUAGAAGGCUUACCAUGAUGUUGUGGCAAUGAUUCAAAGGCAGCCACAAGCUCGGCAUGUUCUUCCUUAGGUACGGCUAGAUUGGGCUUCAUUCCAAUUCCUUGUGCAAUUGCUAUUUCAAGGGGAUCGUCUUCCAACAUAUCAAGAUAAUCAUGCGCCAAUUCAUCCAAUACAUCAAUAGAAAAACAAGAAUGAUCAUCUUUAGGAAAUUUCAUAGCUUCAGAAAUGUUAAAAUUAAUAAUCUCCCCAUCAAAUUCUAUUGUUAACGUCCCUUUGAACACAUCGAUCUUGGUGCGUGCUAUUUUCAUGAAGGGCCUCCCAAGUAAAAUCGGCAAUGGGGUGACAUUUGGUGAGUCCUCCAUCUCUAAAACGUAGAAAUCCGCUGGGAAUAUCAAGUUAUCCACCUGCACCAAAACAUCUUCCAAAACUCCUUUCGGAUAUGCAUUAGACGAUCGGCUAAUUGAAUUAUAACACCAUCGUUUUUAAGCUCUCCUAAGUUCAUAGAUGCAUAAUUGAGUAUGGCAUGACAUUAAUUGAAGCUCCUAGAUCUAACAUAGCAUGUUCAAACUUAGUAUUGCCUAUAACACAUGGAUUUGUAAAACUACCUGGAUCUUUGCAUUUAGGGGGUAAUUUUCUUUGCAAAACAGCGGAAACAUUCUCACUUACCUAGACAACCUCUUUGUUUGAAAUUCUCCUUCUUGUUGUACAUAGUUCCUUCAAAAACUUGGCGUACCUUGGUACUUGCUUAAUUGCGUCAAGAAGAGGUAUAUUGACUUGCACUUUCCGAAACGUCUCCAAAACGUCUCCAAAAUAGCUUGCAUGUGUAUUCAAAUGUUCAUACUUGUUCUUAGCUAGGACAAAAUUUUUCCUUCAAGUGGUAUCAGAGCCUAGGCCUAGUGUAUGGUGAUUCCUUUUGGGUUUUGUGAUAUUCAUAUUUUGUGAUUUAAAUGUUGUAAAUGUUACAAGCUUUGUUCUUGCUUUUGAAUAUAUAAAUUUUGCUAGAAAAUUUAGCAUCUCAAAUGUUGUAGAUGUAUUUCAUUCAAGCAUGAAUAUUGGAACUAAAAUUUGGUGCCAUGUGUUUUGGGAAAUUCGGCCAAAUCCAAAGGGUGAUCUUUUGGUUCAUGUUUGUCUUGUUAAAAAUGGUUUUAAGGUGACUUUGGAACCCUAAGUACCCUAGGACAUUAGCCAUCUUUUGUGUAGUGAAAAUUUGUUUUUUUGUUGAGUGAAAACAUUCAUGGAGCUCUUAUGAGUUUUUCAUGUUUGUUCUUCAUGUUCUUGCCAAGAACAAAAAGUUUUGAAGUUUUGAUUUAAAGGUUUUAUGUUUUUCAUAAAGUUUUGGUUAUUAAUUUGUAUUAUAACUUAAGGGUGAAGAAAGGAAAAUGUCAUUAAUGUUUACAAAACAUUUUCUUACAUUUUCUUACAAGUCUUUAAAGUUUGCAAAGACUUUCUUCACCAACCAAUCCACUUGCUAAAGUGCUUUAAUCAACUUGCAAAAACUUUUUAAAAAAUUUCAAAAUUUUCACUUGUUCACUCCCUUUGGCCGGCCACCCUAACAAGUAGGGUACUUUUGGGCCCUUUUGUGCAAUUACAUAAAGUUUUGAUACUUUUGUGUUUUUGUAUUUUGGCCCAAAAGUUUACGUUUUUACGUUUAGGCCUAAAAACUCUAAAGGUCAAAUUGUUUUGAUCCUUUAAUGAUGUUUUUACAUUAAUAAAAUUUUGGGAUCUAGUUGUAAUUACAUGAAGUUGUGGACUAUUGUGUUUUUACAAAGUGACCCCAAAAGUUUUUGUAUUUGCAUUAUGGCCCAAUUGUUGUGGUCAUAGUUUCCUUUUAGCCCAAAUAAAAUGAGAACAAAAUUGUUUUGUCUCUUUAAUGAGAAUUGGAUUUUCAUUUCAUAUAGUUUCCAUUUAAAUCAAUUCUAUGGAUCCAAAAACCAAUUGUUUAAGCUGUUUUCUUAGUUAAUGUGAUUAAUUGAGAAAAUGGGUGAUUAUGAACCAAAGGCCUCGAUAAUUGAGCUAUGUGAUUGCCGCUUUACAUUAUGAAUGUUUGGGUUUUAGAGUAAGAUUUGAAUGUAAUUUGAUUAAUUCAAUUUGUUGUAAAUGGACAUAAGUCCACAUUUGAUUUGUGUUGUAAAAGGGCAUAAGCCCUUAUUAUUAUUUCAUUGUAUUCCUUUUGUUAUAUGUAUGCAAAUGGAAUAGUUGGGUCCAACGCCCAAUAGGAAAUAACGGUUUAAUUGGAUUAAACGCGUAACUAAAUCAACAAAUAUCUACCUUAAACCCAAGGUCCAACACAAGGCUCCGUUGGAUCAAAAUCAAUCGUUCAUAAUCAUCCUAAAAACCUAAUAUGACUAUAUAGUCCAUAUGAGGAUGCAAUGCAUUCGUUAGUAGUUCUAUAUAGUCUCGCUUGUUUUCUUCGAAAUAGUGGGAGUAUUAUAAACUACUAAUCAUAUAACUUGGACCAAUGGUUUAGGCCCAAGUUCUUUUAAUGUGAUUAAAAUGUUUUGAUGUAGCCAAAAACUACUCCCUCAAAACAAAUAUUAAGUUGAUAAGCGAGAGAUGUUUUGAACAUCUCUUCGUAGGCCUUCCACCGUGGUGGGCUCCAAGCAUUUGUGACUCAUGCACCGGCUUCACCCUAUCAUGGGGAAGUUACAAAGCAUGUGCUACAUCCAGGAGAAUCAUAUACAUAUGAUGAGGUGAGUGUAGGCAACGAGGAUAGCCGAUAUCAUAUCAUUGUGAGGCUAUUCUGAACACCUUCACAAACUAAGCAUGGUGAAAACUUAACUAAGUGCAAUGGAGCCGAUAUCGUAUCAUCGUGAGGCAACAUUCUCUAGAGGCCAAAGGAUGGUAAUUACAAGAUUGUAAAUGAAUAAGCGUUAUUCUCUCAUCAUUAUUUUUGCUAACCAAUAUCGUAUCAUCGUGAGGUGGGCUUGGUAAUGGUGAGUCUCCCAUACCCCGCGAAGAGUUCAAUAUAACUCUCAAAUUCUAUUGAGGGAUUGAAUUUGCCAAAAAUAGUGGUGGUGCUAUUUGGUUCAAAGACCCAAUUAAAUAGUUUUAAACAAACAAUCUAAUACGAUUUCUGUUAUGUUAUGUAGUGAACAACAAUCCUAAAAUUAUACCCACCAUUAUACUUGACAAAAAGGGCCUUAGGCCAACGUUUCCUUGCUUGGUAUCACCACAUUGAGAAUUCUCAAAGGUGAAAGACAUAUUGUAUGUGCUUAAGCAAUCCCAUCUUCAUGUACCUCCUACGAAACUAGCUUUAAAAGGAGGAGUGUCAAAAUUAUGUUAGACAUGAGGAGGACUUACAAGCAAAAUGCUUAAUCCUCACUUCACUUAGUGAGAGCUUAUGAAGCUACAUAAGCACAUGGACACUUCUUGUGCAUGGUUUGAAAGUUUGCAUAAGAUGCAUGACAUUGAGACUAGUAAUGUACGAUUCUCAAUGUUUGUAGUCUAAUGAAUGCCAAAUGGCAAAAGGGGCAUCGGUCCAUAAACAUGGACAAAAUGGAAAAGAUAUUUAAUCUUAAAAGUUUAGGAACUUCCAUCGAUGGGAAAAUGCCAAGUUUUUUCCUUGCAUCUCUCUCGAUUAUUCACUAAGUUUAUUGUAAACUAUAAAGUGAAUAGAUUCGAUCAUUCUUUGAAAGAGAUGAUUGACAUGUGCUGUAAAUUUGAAAAAGGUUUCAAAGGGACAGUGGGAGUGAGAAGCAAUGAUAAGAAAAGGUUGCAUAAGAAGAAGGCAAAGAAUCCAAAGGAACAUGCUUUCAUUGUGGAAAGGAAUGAAACGUGGAAGAAGAAAUACAGGUGCGCAUUGCAGCCUUAUGACACGAACUUUUGAAGAGACUAUUUCUAUCAUAGAGAGUUCUUUUACAGUGAGCUCCAAUUCCUGGAUAUUUGAUUCAGGCCGCUAGUCAACAUAUCUGUAAAUCGAUGCAGGACUAGUGGGAAGCAAGCCAUUGAGCAAUGGGAGAUGUUGUGGGACGUUAGGAAUGCACUAAAAUCUCUGCAAAAGCAACAGGACCUCAUGCUUAACCUACCCUCUGGGGAGUCCUGAACUUAAAAUGUUUAUAUUUCCUUCAUGUAUAAAGAAUUUUGAUUUCAUCUCUAAGCUUUUACGAGAUGGCACUCAGUAUUGUUUGACAAAAAUGAGUUGCACUUUAUACUUGAACGGUCGUAUUAUCUCUCAUGGUAAUAUGAUAGAGGACUUUUUCACCUAGAGAACGAAUAGUGGGAUGCACUGUAUUGCAAGCGGGAAUACCUCAAAACCCAAAAAGGCUAGAGAAGAAGUUGACCAAGAAAAGAUGUGGCAUCUUAAACUUGGACAUGUGAACCUUGAUAAGAUUCACAAGAUGUCGAAAGACGAUAUAUCCGCCCAUUAGGUAAUGACAAGAUGGGUACUUGUGAAUGUUGCUUGAAGGGAAGAUGACCAAAUCUCCAUUUACUGGAAAAGGAGAGCUGCCACUGAAAUUCUAGGGUUAAUCCACACUGACUAUGUGACCUAUUCUACUACGUCGAGAGGAGGCUUCUCCUACUAUAUCAUUCACCGACGAUCACUCUCGGUUUGGCUAUGUGUAUCUUAUGAAGUACAAGUCAGAAUCCUUUGAAAGGUUCAAAGAAUUCAAGAAUGAAGUUGAGAAGCAAACUGGGAAACAGAUAAAGAUCCUAAGAUCGGAUCGAGGGUGAAUAUCUGAGUAAUGAGUUCCUAGAUUAUCUUAAAGAGUGUGGAAUAAAAUCACAGUGGACUCCACCGGGAACUCACACUUAAUGGAGUUUCUGAAAGGAGAAAUCGAACCUUGAUGAACAUGGUUCAUUCUAUGAUGAGUUCUGCUGAUUCUACCAGUAACAUUCUGGGGAUACGCUCUAUACACAGCAGCUUACUUGCUAAUAGAGUACCUUUCAAAUCAGUUUCACAAACGCCCUAUGAGAUAUGGCAUGAAGAAAGUUAAGUCUUAAAACAUUAAGAUGUGGGUUUGAAGCAAUGUCAAAAGCUUGAAGCUACUAAGCUUGAAGCGAGAUCAGUANNNNNNNNNNNNNNNNNNNNNNNNNNNNNNNNNNNNNNNNNNNNNNNNNNNNNNNNNNNNNNNNNNNNNNNNNNNNNNNNNNNNNNNNNNNNNNNNNNNNNNNNNNNNNNNNNNNNNNNNNNNNNNNNNNNNNNNNNNNNNNNNNNNNNNNNNNNNNNNNNNNNNNNNNNNNNNNNNNNNNNNNNNNNNNNNNNNNNNNNNNNNNNNNNNNNNNNNNNNNNNNNNNNNNNNNNNNNNNNNNNNNNNNNNNNNNNNNNNNNNNNNNNNNNNNNNNNNNNNNNNNNNNNNNNNNNNNNNNNNNNNNNNNNNNNNNNNNNNNNAAUGUCUCAAAUCCAGCUUGACGUCAUAUUGAUAAGAUGGGUAUAGAUACAUGGGAGGAUGGCUUUGAGUGCAAGUGGGAGAUUGUUGGAAGUAUGCCCACAAAGCCACUCAUUUAAUGUAAUAGCUUUUUGGAAUACUUAUGUAUUAAACUAAUUUAUAUGUUAAUGGAGGGCAAACUUAUUGUUAAUCACUAUUUAUUGUAUUAUGUGUUUAAGCAAAAGAGAAUCCAAGGAAUGUAUUUGUUCUAAGAGAUAAGUGAUCUAAGUGAAGUUAGAUUAUCGAGACCUUUCUCUUAUCUUCAUUCCUAAAACGUUCCUAGCCAUAGGAUUGCCAAUUGGGCAUUGACAGUCCGUAAGGUUAGUAUGUGUGUCUUCUCUCAAGCGUGAGUAUGACUAGUCUCAAGUCAUUUGCUGUGGACACUGAAGACAAACACAUAGGUGCUCAAAGAGUAAUCGAGUUCACUGAACACAAUCAAAAGAGAGUUCGAACAUACAUGUCAUGUAUAAACUCUAAAGUUGGGAAUAUGCAAAGUAGUCCUUUGACCUGAGGCAUCAUAGAUUGUCUAAUGGUUUAGGUCCUUGAUCUUUGAUCAUGUCAAAGGCAUUCCCAUCGGUGUCCACGGCAUUGUUGGGUUAAGCCAUCUAGCCAUGGAGGCAAGUGAAUGCACAACAAGGGAUCUCUAACCUUCCAUGGUGGAAGGAGAAUACUCUAUGAUAUGAUUCUAAGAAUCUUUGGCCAAAGCAAAUGAAUAUGACUUAGGAAGUUUGUUCCAAAUCAUAUUCAAGGGAAUCAUAUAGGAAAGUAAUCACAUUGGAUAGUAGACAUGAAACAAACUAUCAAACUUAAACAAUGUGAUCAAGAGUAUUGUAUUAGAGAAGACCGUUAUUGCAUUGUAGUCCUAACUGGAAUAGGUUCUCCAACCAAUUCUACUUAGCUUGGGUAACCAUGACAUUCUGCUUAGGUGUCACUCAUGGUUUGUGGAAGCCCUAAUGAUUAGCAAACACUAAUCAUCAAAGGGAGAAUUGAAAUGUGGUUUCAAUUCACAAUCGAUCGUUAAGAGUAACAUCGCCCACUGCCUCGCUAAAUGGAACCUAAUGGAUCGUACACCGAGUAAGGAUGUAUGUGAAGAAAUUAAAUGAAAUGGAUAAGCAAUUAA